AUUGAACGCUGGCGGCAGGCUUAACACAUGCAAGUCGAGCGGAGAUGAGGUGCUUGCACCUUAUCUUAGCGGCGGACGGGUGAGUAAUGCUUAGGAAUCUGCCUAUUAGUGGGGGACAACAUUCCGAAAGGAAUGCUAAUACCGCAUACGUCCUACGGGAGAAAGCAGGGGAUCUUCGGACCUUGCGCUAAUAGAUGAGCCUAAGUCGGAUUAGCUAGUUGGUGGGGUAAAGGCCUACCAAGGCGACGAUCUGUAGCGGGUCUGAGAGGAUGAACCGCCACACAUGGACUGAGACACGGCCCAGACUCCUACGGGAGGCAGCAGUGGGGAAUAUUGGACAAUGGGGGGAACCCUGAUCCAGCCAUGCCGCGUGUGUGAAGAAGGCCUUAUGGUUGUAAAGCACGUUAAGCGAGGAGGAGGCUACUGAGACUAAUACUCUUGGAUAGUGGACGUUACUCGCAGAAUAAGCACCGGCUAACUCUGUGCCAGCCGCCGCCGUAACAC
rnacentral:rRNA from 1 species